UUUUGACAUCAAAUUGUGUUGGAUUUUACAUCUAGAAGCUAAACGAGAAAGUGUAUUUCCCAUGAAAAUACACUUGACAAAGUAAACAAUCGUUGUACGUAGAUUUCCGAGGUUUCCUAUUGCCCCAAAGUUAUUUGGGCAACUUGGAUUAACUUGGAUUUAGUUUAAGAUAUUAGAUGGCGCGCAAGGACUUUCCAAAAUUACCCAUACAACUGGUUUAUUCGUCACGAAAAACCAGGUCAACUACCUGAAUAAUAGUAUAGGUAAAUUAGUAUAAUUACAUUUUGUAACGGAUGAAUGGAGCCGAGCGGGAGCGUGAAAACGGCGAGUGGGUAAAUGAAAAUAAAGCAUUAAAGUUUGGUUGUCUUUACGAAGUACUAAGUGAAAACGAUGUAACCUUUGCUAAGUCAUAGCAAUAUAGCAGUAACAGUUAAUUAAGGCUUUACCAAAGACGUAUAAAAACCAGUUUUCAUAGUUCCUAGAGAAAAAAUUAGAAUAUUUGUUCUACUCAUCGUCUUGAAAAGAAAGAAAAAAUCUAAACUUAUUGCACAAUAAACGAAAAAAAAGAAAUUCGACCAGCUAGCUCAUAGUAGUCAUCUGACACCAACAAAACUUUGAAAGCAAAUAAAACAAUGGUAACAAGAGGUACUACUGAUCCCAAAGAGUAUGACGUCAGUCAAGUAAACAAAACCAGACGUGCACUGAAUGACCGCAGUAGUUGAGCAAAAGGAUCUAACGUACGUGCAUUUUACACCAUCCUUGAUGUUCGCACUCACUGGCCUUCAGAACAGCUAAUAAAAAGAAAUCUCCCAUCAAAGAUCCAGCUGCGGGCUCUUGUAUUUUAGGUAGCUUUCUAAUUGGUGGCUCCUGCUCCACAACACUGACGCUUUCCUCGUGCUUGAAUUUUGCCGAGCUUUCUGCUUUCGGCGUUGUAAGACUGCCAACGUUGGAGACCUUUGGCGGGUUAUUUGCUCGUGAAUAUUUUCCCACAUUUCCAAGAACCAAAAACGUAUACGUGAAAGAAAAAUUUUUAAGGACAACAUGAAACUAUUGAUCUAUGGUCGACCUGCGAGAGGCGGAAACCUAUAAAAAUGCGCAAACGAAAAUUUGCUGUUCCGGAUACCAGAUACAACAUCCUUCUUAUUCCAAGCCAGGGUCUUGCAAAAUGUUGUUCAUUAUUGAAGAUAUCUGAUUCCUCAAAGUACUAAAUUCUUCUUCCAGUUUUCUACAAGUCUCCCACUCCUUCUCAAAUUCAUGUAUGACUGAACGCAAAUUUUCAUCGAUAGUUUGGUAACGAGCCUUAAUCGUACUUUCCAAGUUCUCGAUGAUGCUUUCAGUCUAGGGAAUUAAACAUAAUUAAUUUGGUCAUAGGACUAACA